ACUUGACUACUUGUCCUACAACAAAAGGGCCUCUUUAUGUCGUUGGGUUGAAAAUUCGAUUAAAAUCAUUCAUUCUGCUAUCAGACUUAAACAUCCAGGAUUUGUUGACGGAGUUUUUAAAACAACAGGGUUUGCCGCCUCAGUUUUCUCUGAAGAUCCGUCCUUGAAACCAGUGGAUGACAGACUGAAGAAUAAAUGAGGUGAAUGGUGUCAGACCUGUAUGUCAAUUUGUGUUUUUGUCCUGUCUCCAUGGUUGUUUUGUGACUUCCUGUUUUAUUUUGGAAAUUAACUCUUGCCCUUCCUCAUGUGUCACCAGUCUGAUUUUCUUUCCUGAUUCCUGAUUGUGUUCACCUGUUCUCACACCCUCAUGUGUACUUAUAGUCUUCGUCUCCCCUUGUCCUGUGCCAGUGUGUCAUGUGCUUUCGCCUUGCACACUCAUCUCAUGAAAGAAUUGAGCCCAGGUCGUAGUUUUGUUUGUCCCGAGCCACGUUGUGGACUCCUUAGUUGGCCGUGUGCCGUUUAUGGCUCCACAGCUCCUAGAUUUAGUUUUGAGCCUUUUUUGUGAUUGAUUGUUUUGUUAUUUCCUCUGUAAGAGAGAUUUGGGUUUUGCAUUUGUUGACUAUUCAGCUCUUGGUCAGUUUUACCAGAGCAUUUCCUCGUUCAUCUCUCUUCAGAGACAUUUUUUGUUCCCAGGGACUUCCCUGUGUUUUUUGUUGGGAAAUAAAAGCGUCAGCUGAACCUCAACUUUGCGUCCAAGUCCUCCACAAGAGCUCCCUUAGUGACAGAAUGGGUCUAUGUUUUUUUUUGUUAUUAUUUUGAAUUCAUUGUUCUGUCAUUUCUUUUGGUUUUCACUGUUGAAUAUACUAUCACCAUUUAUCACUGCUAAUCAAACUGCUACUUUAAA